AUGCAAGCCCAUGUCGGAGGCCGGCGACGACUUCCUCUUCUCGUCCAAGCUGGCCAAGGCCGGCAACACGUCCACCCCGAACGGCUCGGCCUGGCGGAGCUUGACGUGGCUGAGUGGCCCGGUACCAACACGCUGGGCGUGUCGAUGAACCGUGUGGACUUCGCGCCGGGGGGCACCAACCCGCCGCACAUCCACCCCCGUGCCACCGAGAUCGGCAUCGUGAUGAAAGGUGAGCUCCUCGUUGGAAUCCUUGGCAGCCUUGACUCGGGGAACAAGCUCUACUUCAGGGUGGUGCGCGCUGGGGAGACGUUCCUCAUCCCGUGCGGCCUCAUGCACUUCCAGUUCAACGUCGGUAAGACCGAGGCUACCAUGGUCGUCUCCUUCAACAGCCAAAACCCCAGCAUCGUCUUUGUGCCGCUCACGCUUUUCGGCUCCAACCCGCCCAUCCCAACGCCGGUGCUCACCAGGGCGCUCCGGGUGGAGGCCGGGGUUGUGGAACUUCUCAAGUCCAAGUUCUCCGCUGGGUUUUAA
rnacentral:rRNA from 1 species